UUCAUAUGACUAUUUGUGCUUAAAAUUAGGGCAGGCACUCGAGAACUCUGCUGAAUCAGGGCCUUGAUUAUUGGUACCAGUAAUGAAUGCAGACAUUUGGGAAGGUAUGUUUCAUUGCUGCCAUCAUGUUUUAUUUUUGGAGAUAUUAAAGAAAGAUAUCAAGAAGAUAUAAAACAAGUAAUUAAAUUCCUGUUUUGUGUAAUGCAGAGCAAAUAUUUGCUUCAAGUUUUAUGGGCAUUUUGCAAAUCAAAAUCAUAAAGGCAGAUGAGCUUUUGUCUAAAAAAGGCAUGCUGAUAGCUCAGCAGAAAAUAAUAAGAGUUUGUUUUUGGAAGGAAAAACCAAACCCUGACAUGAGCCACAAAUACAUUUCAUUAGGCGACACUAAUAGGGGCUGUCAGGUGCCUUCAGUAGCAGCAAACAUCCUCUCAUGUCUCAAGUUUGUGUGGAAGUCAAGAGCAGAGACUUAGCUCAGAUAAGAUAUUUGAUUUGUGUUUGCUCAGGAAAAUGCUCUGACAGUUUAGCUAAAAGGAAUUUGUAUUGAAUUGGAGUAAAACUUGGACUAGAUAACAGCCAAGAGAAUACUGGGGCUGGGCUGGACCCAGCAUUAGACAAUGGAAACGAGCUGGUGAACAAGUUACUGGGGAGUAUUCACUGAAGCACGUUUUUCUUUCUUUCUUUCUUUCUCACAUGGACCUUACAGAAAGUGAAAUUCAAAAUGCCAAAACUGCCUGGUUUGGACACAGUAAAAAAAUCCCAUGAGCAAUAAAUUCUUUUCCUCAGAUAAAUUAACCCUGUGGUGGAGUAAAACACAUCCCCUCUUUGCCUCUGAAUUCUGCACUAUAGAUGACAAAGAGAAAAGGCAGGUUGAAACAAUGAAGUAGCCUAAGUAAUGCACAGAGCAGACAUGGAUUUAUAGCUGAAGCACCAUCCUUCACCUGGGUGCAAGGGCUGCACUGCCACCACUGCGCUCCAAACCCACCCUGCUGCAGGUUCCUCUCACAUCACAGCACCAUGGAGUAACAAAUCUGGCCAUGAAGCAUCCUCCCACUAGCACAGGAAACCCUCUGCUGUCCCCACGGAGUAGGGUUUUGUGCCUCAGCAGAAAGAACAGAAUGAUAAUCAGAAAGCCCAAGUACCAUCCUUGGUUCCAGGCUACUGACCUGCCAUAUCCUUUGGAAAAAGUCCCUUCCCUCAUCCUUGCUUUGUUUCCCUUUUCAUAUUCAGUGUGUGUUUUGUUUCUAGAAUAAAGUUUCCUGGGUAGGUAUUUCUCCACCCAUGUUACUCUAGAAAUUACAGUUUAACUUUGCUUCUGUAUUGAGCUACUGAAGAAUCAUUUUUGUUAAGCAUCCUCCUUUCCUUCUGUUAUAAAGCCUUCUGGUUUGUACUAGAACACUAAUAAAAUUCUCCUGCCAUUGC